CUUCUGUUGUGGAUUUCAGAUUUGAGGUAAAUAAUACUUUUUUUAAAUUGGUGAGGCAGGUUGCAGGAGAGUGUUUUGAAGUUGAGUUUUUAGAAAAUAAUAUAUAUAAAAGAUAUGCGAAGAAAAUAUGUAAAUAUAUAUAUACACGGGACAAGACGAGGACAAAGGACGUCUGACUUCUAUGCCAUCGUUUAAUGAAAGGGGUUGCAGUCUGCCGUGAAGAGUUCAUCCAUGUAUACGGCAUCAGUAGAACACGCCUGACUCUCCUCCACCAGUCAUACAAGGAGAAUGGUCUAAUGCCUCCCAUCAAAAAGAGAGCUGGCCCAAGCAAGCACAGGUUAUACCUCAAGCAUGAGGACUUGCAGCGAGUGGUGAACUUAAUCAACAACUACGCAGAGGAUAAUGCAAUAGUAUUACCAGGACGCCACCCAGGACACAAACACUUUGGUGGAAAGCUGCUGCCGUCCCAUUUGACAAAACAGCAGUGUGGCUUCUCUACAAGGAAUCGAUGACAACACUUGGACAGCACUGUGACAGGGAUCAACAUCACACAGCUG
rnacentral:lncRNA from 1 species